rnacentral:rRNA from 1 species
GGGUGCAAACGUUGUUCGGAAUUACUGGGCGGAAAGCGUGUGUAGGCGGCUAUGCAAGUCGGAUGUGAAAGCCCGGGGCUCAACUCCGGAACUGCCUUUGAGACUGGGAGGCUUGAACGUCGGAGAGGUGAGUGGAAUUCCGAGUGUAGAGGUGAAAUUCGUAGAUAUUCGGAAGAACACCAGUGGCGAAGGCGGCUCACUGGACGACUGUUGACGCUGAGGUGCGAAAGCGUGGGGAGCAAACAGG